rnacentral:misc_RNA from 1 species
CUCUAACAGCAUGGCUAAAGCCACCCUUAUUUGAUCAUCUGCAACGCUCUUCACUGUCAAUCUGAUCUCUGUAUUUAUUACCAAAUGUACACUCUUUAGCACAAUAUCAACACCUUAACACACAAUCAAGGACUUUUCAUUUUUCUUUAAUUUUUUUUUUUUUGGGUUCGAGGGGUUGUUGGUUUUGAUCGGCAAAAACAACUUAUUUGAACCUAAAAAACAAGCCCCAGUUCAAUUUUAGCCAUAUUUAGCUUAAAUUUAAUUAGAAGUUUCAAUCUUUACGCACAUAUCUAAUGAUCACAGACACGUAUUCAAAGAUUUUGCCUGAUAUAUCGAUGCGAUCAAUGCUCAAAAAUGAAGAUUUGGGCAAACUGAUUAGAGAGCAAAGGCUACAACAAGAGGCAGCGAGUGACAGAGAGAAGGAGCUCAAUAUUUAUCGGAGCGGGUCUGCCCCGCCUACUGUAGAAGGGUCUUUAAGCUCGAUUGGGGGCUUGUUUGAUGCUACUGCGUUACCUGGUAUCAAGAAGAGCAACAAAGGCGGGUUCUUGAGCGAGGAGGAGAUAAGGUCUGAUCCAGC